rnacentral:rRNA from 1 species
CAGCAGCCACGGUAAUACGAAGGGGGCAAGCGUUGUUCGGAAUUAUUGGGCGUAAAGGGCGCGUAGGCGGUUUGGCAAGUUUGGUGUGAAAUCUUCGGGCUCAACUCGAAGUCUGCAUCGAAAACUGCCGGGCUUGAGUAUGGGAGAGGUGAGUGGAAUUUCCGGUGUAGCGGUGAAAUGCGUAGAUAUCGGAAGGAACACCUGUGGCGAAAGCGGCUCACUGGACCAUUACUGACGCUGAGGCGCAAAAGCUAGGGGAGCAAACAGGAUUAGAUACCCGAGUAGUCCCUGUCUCUUAUAC